UACGUAGGGGGCAAGCGUUGUCCGGAUUUAUUGGGCGUAAAGAGCUCGUAGGUGGUUUGGUAAGGGUGUGGUGAAAGCCCGGGGCUCAACCCCGGGUCUGCCGUGCCGACUGUCAAACUCGAGGGCUGUAGAGGCAGACGGAAUUCCGGGUGUAGCGGUGAAAUGCGCAGAUAUCAGGAGGAACACCGAUUGCGAAGGCAGCUCGCUGGGACGUAACUGACGCUGAGACGCGAAAGCGUGGGGAGCAAACAGG
rnacentral:rRNA from 1 species